rnacentral:tRNA from 1 species
GGAGAGAUGGCAGAGUGGUCGAAUGCGCAGGCUUGCUAAGCCUGUGAAGUCCUUGUGGCUUCCGAGGGUUCGAAUCCCUCUCUCUCCGCCA